rnacentral:rRNA from 1 species
GUAGGUGGCAAGCGUUGUCCGGGAAUUAUUGGGGCGUAAAGCGCGCGCAGGCGGUUCUUUAAGUCUGAUGUGAAAGCCCACGGGCUCAACCGUGGAGGGUCAUUGGAAACUGGAGAACUUGAGUACAGAAGAGGAAAGCGGAAUUCCACGUGUAGCGGUGAAAUGCGUAGAGAUGUGGAGGAACACCAGUGGCGAAGGCGGCUUUCUGGUCUAUAACUGACGCUGAGGCGCGAAAGCGUGGGGAGCAAACAGGAUUAGAUACCCUGGUAGUCCACGCCGUAAACGAUGAGUGCUAAGUGUUAGGGGGUUUCCGCCCCUUAGUGCUGCAGCUAACGCAUUAAGCACUCCGCCUGGGGAGUACGGCCGCAAAGGCUGA